CUGUCUGAUGAUGAUCAAACUAAAUACUUUCGUUCUUCUGAUGCGCUAAGGUGCGAUGCGGAAGCAAUUUGGAGACCUGAACUGAGGAUAU
rfam:Hordeum vulgare subsp. vulgare, WGS project CAJW01000000 data, contig: morex_contig_1564307